rnacentral:misc_RNA from 1 species
CCGAGUUCUGGGACCUAGUCCCUACUCUCAACCCAUGUUUACUUAUACUGUUGCUUCGGCGGAACGUGGUGGUUUCUUCGGAAGCCCCCCUCUGGCCUCUCGAGUCUAGAGUGCGUCCGCCGAAAUUUUUUCAAACACCGUCUUGAACUUUCAGUCUGAGAUGAAAAUAAGAAAGCA